rnacentral:misc_RNA from 1 species
UCGUAGAAAGUUAACAAAUUCACCUUGUUUGGUUGCUAUUUUGACUCAAUUUUCUAGUAAGUAAAGGAAGCAACUUUCUUCAAUUCAACAGAAGUAACUUAUUUACUCUCACUCUCAUAAGUUACUCGAGGGAGGGUUUGAAUCAACCAAGGCCUAACUAGGAAACUUGCAUUAUCUCUCCUCUUGUUGAUGAAUAAUGCAGAAAUCAUUAAAGGAUGGAGACAAAUUUGAGGUCACGGUUUAGAUGAUUAGUGAGGUGUUAAAAAUACUUUUUACCCAUUUCCUGUGGGCCAGAAUCUGGUGAUAUUUGAAUCCAGCAGACUGAUCACUGAUAUGGC